rnacentral:misc_RNA from 1 species
AAGUCGUAACAAGGUUUCCGUAGGUGAACCUGCGGAAGGAUCAUUACCGAGAGGGACGGACGCCGGCGGCGCCGUUCCGGGGGCCCCGCCCCCGACCUCCUCAACCCUGUGGAUACCUGCCCUUGUUGCUUCGGCGAGCGUCGGGGCCUUUUGCGCCCCGGCCCCGGCUCCGGCCGGUGAGCUCUCGCCCGAGGCCCCCCUCCAUUCGGCUCUACAGUGACGUCCGAGGAUUUGCAAUCAAAAUAUCAAAACUUUCAACAACGGAUCUCUUGGUUCUG